AAAAAUAAUUAUAAGACUAAAGAAAUAAUAGAAAAAUAAAGUCACCUCUUGCGAGAUUUUGCGUUGAAAAUUUAUUUUGAUACUAUUCCAAUCCAACAAAAUAGCCAAAAAACGACUAAUAAUUCAAUUUGUUUAAAAUUAUACAUGUGUAUAGUUGAGUGUUUGUCUUUAGAAAUUAAUCAGUAGACACUGAGCCUUUGAAUGUAAGUAGCCCCAAAUCCGGUUGUUUUUAUUGCAUAAUUAAAUUUAAUAUAAUUUAAGCAUAAAUAUAUUUUGGUAUAUUGAAAAAUAAUGUUAUUUUUAUAUAAGGUAUUACAUAGGAUUAUAAAUUUUGAGAAUGUUAUGUCAGAAUUGUAUUUUCGGUUUUUCAAUUAGACCUCUUGUAGGACUUAAAACUUACUACACUAAAACGUUCACUCGCGCACCAAAGUUGAAAAACUAUAAAAUUAGCAUGCUGCCUAUCCAAUAUUACGUGUUUACACCAAUAUUUGAAAAAAUAAAAAAAAAUUAAGUCACUACGAAGUCUUCUGGACUUUGUGAAAACUUGGCCGUACAAAUAAAAAACGAAUGAAAAAAUAAAUAAAAACGAGCCAACCGGAGAAAAAGGCACAAGAGAACGCCCGGUUGAACAGUGGGCGUUUUAGUGAGCGAGACCGACAGCCAUGUGGCUCUGUGCCCACACCACCGCCUCCCCCCACCACAUUGGGCGACCAACCCGGCCAACCGGUCCCCCCUUCGCUCCCGGCCAAACCUCGUCCAGAUCUCAGGCCGCCAACUUCGUCCGUCCUCGUCUCCACAUUCUGCCUACACAGAAUCGUCCAACCUCCUGAAAAUUGUAAACAUGUGCACCGUUGACGGGGAAGGUCUUUGACCCCGAGGCACGUGUAGGGAAUGUGGAAGGGGAUGCUACACGUGUGGGGGGGAGUGGCCGGAUGACGUCACGACGGUAGUGGGGACCGGCGCGCCCCAAUAGGCGCAGGGUCGUAGUGGGCAUGCGCGGCCCCGGGCCCCCCGACGCCUCCCACCGAGCAGCCAUUCGUCUCCGAGCAUCCGACCAGUCUUCAUCCCGCGUCCGCCCGUCAGUGACCACCGUGCCAAGUGUUCAAAUCAGUUCAUAAAGAAAAAAAAGAAUAGUGUUUUGAGUGUUUUCUUCCUGUGACACGAGGAUUUCCCGGUGAUGUAUCGGGGAGAGAAUCGGGCUUGACUUUUUCCAUUUUCACCAUAUUCCAGUCAGUCUUUUUCUCUCUCCUAUAGAUACACCGGGGCCCACUGCGCAACUCUACCGUUAUGGAUUUCUCAGCCCGAAGGAGUCGCCAUCGGACUUUUUAACCCUUUCUGGAAUACACUCCAGUCGACACUUCGCCAUAUUUGGCCUACAUUGUGUUUAAUUAUUUUUCGAGAAAAACU